UGCGAACGGGUGAGUAACACGUGGGUAAUCUGCCCUGCACUCUGGGAUAAGCCUGGGAAACUGGGUCUAAUACUGGAUAUGACCUUUCUCCUUAUGGGGUUUGGUGGAAAGUUUUUCGGUGUAGGAUGAGCCCGCGGCCUAUCAGCUUGUUGGUGGGGUGAUGGCCUACCAAGGCGACGACGGGUAGCCGGCCUGAGAGGGUGAUCGGCCACAUUGGGACUGAGAUACGGCCCAG
rnacentral:rRNA from 1 species